rnacentral:rRNA from 1 species
UUGGCAUCGAGUGACCGAUGAUAGCUUAGUAGUACGUACUAGCAGAUCUAGCGUCGAAGAUUCAGCAACUGACUGAAACGUCAAUCUACGAGCAGCAGUGGCAUUGCCCAUGCGCAGCUGAUGCAGGCAUGCGCGGUAUGAGAGCUCCGGUGUAAGUACUUCAGCGGAGAGUGUGAGCUAUAGUCAGCAUGACGUACCGCAGAGAGCACUGCUACUCGUGCAGCAGCGCGGUAAUACGAGGGUGCAGCGUAAUCGAAUACUGGGCGUAAAGCGCACGCAGGCGGUCUGUCGAGUCAGAUGUGAAAUCCCCGGGCUCAACCUGGGAACUGCAUUCGAUACUGGCAGGCUAGAGUCUGUAGAGGGGGGUAGAAUUCCAUGUGUAGCGGUGAAAUGCGUAGAGAUCUGGAGGAAUACCGGUGGCGAAGGCGGCCCCUGGACAAAGACUGACGCUCAGGUGCGAAAGCGUGGGGAGCAAACAGGAUUAGAUACCCUGGUAGUCCACGCCGUAAACGAUGUCGACUUGGAGGUUGUGCCCUUGAGGCGUGGCUUCCGGAGCUAACGCGUUAAGUCGACCGCCUGGGGAGUACGGCCGCAAGGUUAAAAUUCAAAUGAAUUGACGGGGGCCCGCACAAGCGGUGGAGCAUGUGGUUUAAUUGGAUGCAACGGGAAGACCCUUACUUAUUCUUGACAUCCAGAGAACUUUCCAGAGAUGGUUUGGUCCCUUCGGGAAUUUUGAGACAGGUGCUGCAUGGCGGUCGUCAGUUCGUGUUGUGAAAUGUUGGGUUAAUUCCCGCACCGACGCGCAACCCUUUUCCUUUGUUGCCAGCGGUUCGGCCGGGAACUCAAAGGAGACUGCCAGUGAUAAACUGGAGGAAGGUGGGGAUGACGUCAAGUCAUCAUGGCCCUUACGAGUAGGGCUACACACGUGCUACAAUGGCGCAUACAAAGGGAAGCGACCUCGCGAGAGCAAGCGGACCUCAUAAAGUGCGUCGUAGUCCGGAUUGGAGUCUGCAACUCGACUCCAUGAAGUCGGAAUCGCUAGUAAUCGUAGAUCAGAAUGCUACGGUGAAUACGUUCCCGGGCCUUGUACACACCGCCCGUCACACCAUGGGAGUGGGUUGCAAAAGAAGUAGGUAGCUUAACCUUCGGGAGGGCGCUUACCCACUUGGAUUCGAUUCGGU